ACAAUGAAGGCCCAGCCGUGAAAACUGUGCACCAGUGGCGCGCCUUCUGGAACAAGGAGACGCACGACGCCCGCCACGACGCCGCUGUUCACGCCGCAGAGCACAGGGGCACUGGGGGUGGCAAGUUGCCUGGACUGCGCGGGCGUAUCCUUUCGCUGGUAGGGGUAGCCAGUGCAAUUGGAGUAUGCCCCAAUUUUUUUGAAGACGCCGAAGAGGUAGGUAAUGUGUUGCAUUUGUUUCGGACCUUUUACCGAGUAAAUUCCGUACAGUUCGCGAGAUGCCGCAUAGAAUUGCACCGGAGGCGUUGUAAUCACUUAAUUCAGGGGUGCAAUGCACGUUUUCGCCAUCAAGCAGUGUGUUCAUUGCGAGUGAUAUUUGUUUUAGUUAUGAUUUUUAAAGAUUUUGAUAUUGUUGUAUAAGCGAGAACGCGCUUUCACUAUUGUAGCAAUGACAUUGAACGCGCUUUCCCUAGGCGACAUCAGACAGCUCAUGAAAACAGUGAGAAGUUAUAAUUAUCGGUGCGGCGAAAAGCUGUGUACCAGGCAGCCAAAGGAGCUUUAGUAAAGCCAACAUUUUCAGCCAUAUGAAAUGCGUUUUAAUGCUUUUUUCCACCAAUGAGAAGUAAACAAUGCUAUCUGCACAGGUCAGCGAAGAGCCAAGAGCUGCCGAGAGCCGGCCCAGCGGUAGUGUGUCCGUUGGUGAACAACCGGGUACGAGUGGGAUUCAAGCACGCCUGCAGCAGCAGCCUCAGCAGCCCGUGAAGCGACCCGCGCCUUCGGAAGGCGAAGAUGGCGGUAGUAGGAAACGUGAGUGAAACCUCUA